UAGUAUAUGCGCAUGUGACAAGGAGUCACAACACAACCAAGGGUGACCCCUCAAAACAAAACAUAGCAAAUUAUUAAAAGAAGAAAAAUCUCAUCAGCCCAACUGAGCUGAGGUAUAGCACUAGCAGCAGCGACCACCGAACAAAGAUGGUUUUUUGUGGAAUUCUGACCCCAACAACAGCAACCACUUAUUUAUGUUCAAGUUCCCAUAGCAGACCUCAUAAUAAGCAGCUCCAGUACCAGGCUCUUUCGUUUGUUAAACAUAGGAUUCACUGCUCAAAUUCUAACCCAGAUAUGCCUCUAAUCUCAUCUGAUGAACUACUACUUCAGAACAACAUACCUCCCAUGACUGGUGGUGCAUUUGAUUUCAAGAGAGCCACAACAUCUCUUACCGAUCAAAUCAUCUCUUCACCAAAGAGGGUUACACUUGUACGCCAUGGACUUAGCACCUGGAAUGAAGAGAGUAAAAUUCAGGGGAGCUCAAACAUGUCUGUCCUAACAGAUAGGGGAAUCAAUCAAGCAGAGAGGUGCAAAAAAGCCUUGGCCAAUAUCUAUUUCGACGCCUGUUUCUCAAGUCCGAUAUCUCGAGCAAAGUCCACUGCUGAGAUUAUGUGGCAAGGGAGAAAAGAGCCAUUGAUUUAUCUCGAUUCACUUAAGGAGGCCCAUUUGUUUUUCCUUGAAGGCAUGAAAAAUGUGGAUGCGAAGAAGAUAUAUCCGAAAGAGUAUAAAACAUGGAGAGAGGAUCCAGCUAGCUUUCAUGUGAAUGGAAUUUACCCUUUAAGAGAAGUAUGGAGAACAGCACGAGAUGCUUGGAAGGAGAUCUUGUUAACUCCUGGGGAUCAGUUCUUGAUUGUCACUCACAAAUCAAUUUUGAGAGCAUUGAUCUGCACGGCUUUGGGGCUAGGCCCAGAGAGGUUCCGUGCAACUGACGUGAAUAAUGGCGGAGUAACAGUAUUCAAAUUUAACACGAGAGGAGAAGCAAUGCUUCAGUCAUUGAAUAUGACUUCCCAUAUGUAUAGUGACCAUGUCUAUUUGAUCUAAAAACAACAAGAGGAAUAAAUGUCAGCCCUGCCUCUGCUACAUAGAAUUUGAUGAGCUGCUGGAUGGAUAAACUCACCAGCACCAAGAGCUAAGAAAGGAAAAACCAAAUGAUGAAUGUGGCUGUCAAAGAGGUUGAAAGAGUGGUCAGUUUUGCCUUUUUUCUGAGAUGCCAACACUGAAGCAAAGCUUUAAUCAUCAGGUGGGAAAUCCUCAUCCGAGGCAUUCUCAAAAAGGGAACCCAAAGUUUUCCUCAAAAUGCUGAAAGUUUUGUCGUCCUGAAUCCAAAUAGGAAUGCUAAUUAGAACUGGCAGAAAGAGACCCAAAUGGCUUGAGCUCAGAAAACCUGAAGUUUAUGAUUAGUAAUUUAGUAUAUACCUGAGUUUUCCUUUUCAGAGACUCCUCCAAUCGAGUAAUUUUAUCUCCGCAAGCUUUCUCAUGUUCUGACAUCAUACUCUUUUCUUUCUUCCCUGAUGUCAUUUAUUUACAACAAGACUACUGUAAUUACAUUUCUCUACAAGGGAAUGAAAAGAGUAGUGCCCUGUAAACUUACUCAUUUGUUCAUAUCGCUUUAAAAGCCUUUCCUUCUCUUCUUCAAACUUGGAAAUGAUAUCUGACACCAGAAAAUGAAUCUA